GACGAACGCUGGCGGCAUGCCUAAUACAUGCAAGUCGAGCGGAGUUGAUAGAAAGCUUGCUUUCUUGAUACUUAGCGGCGGACGGGUGAGUAACACGUAGGCAACCUGCCCUCAAGCUUGGGACAACUACCGGAAACGGUAGCUAAUACCGAAUACUUGUUUUCUUCGCCUGAAGGAAACUGGAAAGACGGAGCAAUCUGUCACUUGGGGAUAGGCCUGCGGCGCAUUAGCUAGUUGGUGAGGUAACGGCUCACCAAGGCGACGAUGCGUAGCCGACCUGAGAGGGUGAUCGGCCACACUGGGACUGAGACACGGCCCAGACUCCUACGGGAGGCAGCAGUAGGGAAUCUUCCGCAAUGGGUGAAAGCCUGACGGAGCAAUGCCGCGUGAGUGAUGAAGGUUUUCGGAUCGUAAAGCUCUGUUGCCAGGGAAGAACGCUUGGGAGAGUAACUGCUCCCAAGGUGACGGUACCUGAGAAGAAAGCCCCGGCUAACUACGUGCCAGCCGCCGCAGUAA
rnacentral:rRNA from 1 species